rnacentral:tRNA from 1 species
UAGAUCAGUUGGUGGAGCAUAAGGUUUUAAACCUUAAGGUUGGGGUUCGAGCCCUA